AGAGUUUGAUCAUGGCUCAGAUUGAACGCUGGCGGUAGGCUUAACACAUGCAAGUCGUGCGAGAAAGUACCUUCGGGUACGAGUAGAGCGGCGGACGGGUGAGUAACGCGUAGGAAUCUACCUAGUAGAAGGGGAUAGCCCGAGGAAACUCGGAUUAAUACCGUAUACCUCCUUAGGGAGAAAGAGGGCUUAGCUUUGAUGCUCUCGCUAUUAGAUGAGCCUGCGUAAGAUUAGCUUGUUGGUGAGGUAAUGGCUCACCAAGGCAACGAUCUUUAGCUGGUCUGAGAGGACGAUCAGCCACAUUGGGACUGAGACACGGCCCAGACUCCUACGGGAGGCAGCAGUGGGGAAUAUUGGACAAUGGGCGCAAGCCUGAUCCAGCCAUACCGCGUGUGUGAAGAAGGCUUUCGGGUUGUAAAGCACUUUAAGUAAGGAGGAAAAGGUUAUAGAUAAUACCUAUAACCCGUGACGUUACUUACAGAAUAAGGACCGGCUAAUUCCGUGCCAGCAGCCGCGGUAAUACGGAAGGUCCAAGCGUUAAUCGGAAUUACUGGGCGUAAAGGGCGCGUAGGUGGUUUAUUAAGUUGGAUGUGAAAGCCCUGGGCUCAACCUAGGAACUGCAUCCAAAACUAGUUCACUAGAGUACGAAAGAGGGAAGUAGAAUUCACAGUGUAGCGGUGGAAUGCGUAGAUAUUGUGAAGAAUACCAAUGGCGAAGGCAGCUUCCUGGUUCUGUACUGACACUGAGGUGCGAAAGCGUGGGUAGCGAACAGGAUUAGAUACCCUGGUAGUCCACGCCGUAAACGAUGACAACUAGCUGUUGGAAAACAAUAGUUUUUCAGUGGCGCAGCUAACGCAAUAAGUUGUCCGCCUGGGGAGUACGGCCGCAA
rnacentral:rRNA from 1 species